rnacentral:rRNA from 1 species
CCUACGGGUGGCAGCAGUGAGGAAUAUUGGUCAAUGGCCGGAAGGCUGAACCAGCGAAGUAGCGUGAGGGAAGACUGCCCUAUGGGUUGUAAACCUCUUUUAUGCGGGGAUAAAGGUGUCCACGUGUGGAUGUUUGCAGGUACCGCAUGAAUAAGGACCGGAUAAUGCCGGGCCAGCAGCCGCGGGACGACGGAAGGUCCGGGACGUAACCGGAUUUAGUGGGUUUAAAGGGAACGUAGGAUGGUCUUUAAGCGUGCCGUGAAAUUUUUUGGCUCAACCAUGAGAGUGCGGCGCGAACUGGAGACCUUGAGUGCGCGGAAGGCAGGCGGAAUUCGUGGUGUAGCGGUGAAAUGCUUAGAUAUCACGAAGAACCGCGAUUGCGAAGGCAGCCUGCCGCAGCGUUACUGACGCUGAAGCUCGAAAGCGCGGGUAUCGAACAAGAUUAGAUACCCUGGUAGUC